AUGGACAGUCGGAGGGGCCCAUGUCAGAUCCAUGGUCCUCUACCCCGCGUGCAAUCGGGACCGCCUCCUCCUGCUGGUGGAGGUGCAGGUGCGAGUGGCGCCUUCCAGGCGUUGAGGAGCUCUGCGAUGGAGGUGGGGGCAACAUCAGUGCUCGAGAAAGAGGACCAUGAGUGGCAACUCCAGAGUUCGUGUUCCACAUCACCUAAGAAGACUCACAAGAUUCGUCCAAAGAUGGUGCACCCACAGUUGCGUGUGCACUUGUCCUGCGCAUUGGCGCGGAUGUGUACCACCUUGGUUGAUAGGGGAGUGUUCGACGAGUGCCUAUCCGAGAUAGCUGAAGCAUUGCUUAAGGCAGAUUUCUGCUCAGAGAUGGUCUCGGAGCUGCAGUUAAAACUCAAGAAGGCCAUAGAUCUCACUGUGAGCGGAAGCAAUCACAACCUACAACAGGUUGUCCACAAGGAGAUAUGCAAGUUAGUUGAUCCUGGAAAGAAGCCAUCCUUUGUCCCCAAGAAGGGGAAGCCAUGUAUUGUAAUGGUGAUAGGUCUCCAAGGCUCUGGUAACACUACAAGUUGUGCCAAGUUUGGGUACCAUCACAAACAUAAGGGAUACAAACCUUCAAUGGUCUCCACGGAUACAAGAGGAAGUAGUUCACUUGAUCGGACAAAACAGAUUGCACGCGAGGCUAAGAUCCCUUUUUAUGGAAGCAAUUUGGAACCAGAUCCUGUGAGAGUUGCCGUUCAGGGCGUGGACAGAUUCAGAAAGGAGAACUCAGAUCUUAUAAUAAUUGAUACAAGUGGGAGCUCUACAUCUAAAGAUGCACUUUUUGAUAAAAUCCUUAAAAUUGAGAAGGCCACGAAGCCAGAUCUGGUAGUGCUCGUAGUUGAUGCUGGAGCUGGCAAGUCUGCAUGUGAUGUAGCUGUGUUCUGCAAGAGAUAUGGCUCUAUUGGUUCUGCUAUCGUGACCAGAAUGGACCGCCAUCCAAAUGGAGGCGGUACACUUAGCGCACUUGCAGCAGCAACAUGUCCUGUUAUAUUUUAUGGAACGGGAAAACAAAUUGAUGCAUUUGAAACCUUUGACGUGAAGGUCUUUGUGAAUAAUCUUUUAGAUUACAAGAAUAGGACUUUACAAUCAAUGUUGAAGAUAUGCAUGGUAUGCUGGGCAACCUGCAAGUAUCUGAGACUGAAAGAAGAAACGCGAUUGUAG
rnacentral:rRNA from 1 species